rnacentral:rRNA from 1 species
CCUACGGGUGGCAGCAGUGAGGAAUAUUGGUCAAUGGACGAGAGUCUGAACCAGCCAAGUAGCGUGAAGCAUGACUGCCCUAUGGGUUGUAAACUUCUUUUAUAUGGGAAUAAAACGUUCCACGUGUGGGAUUUUGUAUGUACCAUAUGAAUAAGGAUCGGCUAACUCCGUGCCAGCAGCCGCGGUAAUACGGAGGAUCCGAGCGUUAUCCGGAUUUAUUGGGUUUAAAGGGAGCGUAGGUGGAUUGUUAAGUCAGUUGUGAAAGUUUGCGGCUCAACCGUAAAAUUGCAGUUGAAACUGGCAGUCUUGAGUACAGUAGAGGUGGGCGGAAUUCGUGGUGUAGCGGUGAAAUGCUUAGAUAUCACGAAGAACUCCGAUUGCGAAGGCAGUUCACUGGACUGCAACUGACACUGAGGCUCGAAAGUGUGGGUAUCAAACAGGAUUAGAUACCCUUGUAGUC